rnacentral:tmRNA from 1 species
GGGGGCGACUGGUUUCGACCGGAUGACGACGUUGACGGUGGCAUGCCCAGGACGCUCUCUAGGCCUGGUUAAUCACGAGAGCAAUUUCAUAACUGCCAACAACGAUGUUGCAGGCCGAGUCGGCUUCACGGCUGCCCCGGUUCGAAUGGCCGCCUAAUUAACUAGGCAGCCUCGGCAUGGUGUGGAGCCCGUGACACACCAGCCGAAAACAGCGGGCUGGUUUGCCGAUUCUGACGUCGGUCGGCAAACGAGAAACAGACGGCUGGACCCCGACGGAGAGUGCUGCUUCCCGCCGCCGGGGUCGAGAUUAAAAAAGCAGAUACGCAUGUAGAUGCCGGCAAUGAAGUGAUCUCGGGACGGGGGUUCAAUUCCCCCCGCCUCCACUA